UUGAACGCUGGCGGCAUGCUUUACACAUGCAAGUCGAACGGCAGCACGGGGGCAACCCUGGUGGCGAGUGGCGAACGGGUGAGUAAUAUAUCGGAACAUAUCCGUGAGUGGGGGAUAACGUAGCGAAAGUUACGCUAAUACCGCAUAUGCCCUGAGGGGGAAAGUGGGGGAUCGCAAGACCUCACGCUUUCGGAGUGGCCGAUAUCGGAUUAGCUAGUUGGUGGGGUAAAGGCCCACCAAGGCGACGAUCCGUAGCUGGUCUGAGAGGACGACCAGCCACACUGGGACUGAGACACGGCCCAGACUCCUACGGGAGGCAGCAGUGGGGAAUUUUGGACAAUGGGGGCAACCCUGAUCCAGCCAUGCCGCGUGAGUGAAGAAGGCCUUCGGGUUGUAAAGCUCUUUCAGCCGGAAAGAAAUCGCACUGGUUAAUACCUUGUGCGGAUGACGGUACCGGAAGAAGAAGCACCGACUAACUACGU
rnacentral:rRNA from 1 species